AUUGAACGCUGGCGGCAGGCCUAACACAUGCAAGUCGGACGGUAGCACAGAGAGCUUGCUCUCGGGUGACGAGUGGCGGACGGGUGAGUAAUGUCUGGGGAACUGCCCGAUAGAGGGGGAUAACCACUGGAAACGGUGGCUAAUACCGCAUAACGUCGCAAGACCAAAGAGGGGGACCUUCGGGCCUCUCACUAUCGGAUGAACCCAGAUGGGAUUAGCUAGUAGGCGGGGUAAUGGCCCACCUAGGCGACGAUCCCUAGCUGGUCUGAGAGGAUGACCAGCCACACUGGAACUGAGACACGGUCCAGACUCCUACGGGAGGCAGCAGUGGGGAAUAUUGCACAAUGGGCGCAAGCCUGAUGCAGCCAUGCCGCGUGUAUGAAGAAGGCCUUCGGGUUGUAAAGUACUUUCAGCGGGGAGGAAGGCGAUGUGGUUAAUAACCGCGUCGAUUGACGUUACCCGCAGAAGAAGCACCGGCUAACUCCGUGCCAGCCGCCGCCGUAA
rnacentral:rRNA from 1 species